rnacentral:rRNA from 1 species
ACUCCUACGGGAGGCAGCAGUGGGGAAUAUUGGACAAUGGGCGAAAGCCUGAUCCAGCAACGCCGCGUGAGGGAUGACGGCCUUCGGGUUGUAAACCUCUUUCAGCAGGGACGAAGCGCAAGUGACGGUACCUGCAGAAGAAGCACCGGCCAACUACGUGCCAGCAGCCGCGGUAAUACGUAGGGUGCGAGCGUUGUCCGGAAUUAUUGGGCGUAAAGGGCUCGUAGGCGGUCUGUCGCGUCAGGAGUGAAAACUCGGGGCUUAACCCCGAGCCUGCUUCUGAUACGGGCAGACUAGAGGUAUGCAGGGGAGAACGGAAUUCCUGGUGUAGCGGUGAAAUGCGCAGAUAUCAGGAGGAACACCGGUGGCGAAGGCGGUUCUCUGGGCAUUACCUGACGCUGAGGAGCGAAAGUGUGGGGAGCGAACAGGAUUAGAUACCCUGGUAG